AACGAACGCUGGCGGCGCGCCUAAUACAUGCAAGUCGAGCGAGAAGACGUAGCAAUACGUUUGUAAAGCGGCGAACGGGUGAGGAAUACAUGGGUAACCUACCCUCGAGUGGGGAAUAACUAGCCGAAAGGUUAGCUAAUACCGCGUACGCUCCUUGGACUUCGGUUCAGGGAGGAAAGCGAUACCGUGGGUAUCGCGCUCUUGGAUGGGCUCAUGUCCUAUCAGCUUGUUGGUGAGGAACGGCUCACCAAGGCUUCGACGGGUAGCUGGUCUGAGAGGACGAUCAGCCACACUGGCACUGCGACACGGGCCAGACUCCUACGGGAGCAGCAGUAAGGAAUAUUGCGCAAUGGGCGAAAGCCUGACGCAGCGACGCCGCGUGGGGGAUGAAGGUC
rnacentral:rRNA from 1 species